rnacentral:rRNA from 1 species
AACGAACGCUGGCGGCAUGCCUAACACAUGCAAGUCGAACGAACCCUUCGGGGUUAGUGGCGCACGGGUGCGUAACGCGUGGGAAUCUGCCCUUUGCUUCGGAAUAACUCAGGGAAACUUGUGCUAAUACCGGAUGAUGUCUUCGGACCAAAGAUUUAUCGGCAAAGGAUGAGCCCGCGUAGGAUUAGGUAGUUGGUGGGGUAAAGGCCUACCAAGCCGACGAUCCUUAGCUGGUCUGAGAGGAUGAUCAGCCACACUGGGACUGAGACACGGCCCAGAGUCCGACGGGAGGCAGCAGUGGGGAAUAUUGGACAACGGGCGAAAGCCUGAUCCAGCAAUGCCGCGUGAGUGAUGAAGGCCUUAGGGUCGUAAAGCUCUUUUACCAGGGAUGAUAAUGACAGUACCUGGAGAAUAAGCUCCGGCUAACUCCGUGCCAGCCGCCGCUGUAACAC